rnacentral:tRNA from 1 species
AGCUCCGUGGUGUACUACAUAUUGGAUUGCAAAUCCGAAGACGCAGAUUAAUACUCUGCCGGGGCUU